rnacentral:rRNA from 1 species
CCUACGGGAGGCAGCAGUGGGGAAUAUUGGGCAAUGGGCGCAAGCCUGACCCAGCAACGCCGCGUGAAGGAAGAAGGCUUUCGGGUUGUAAACUUCUUUUGUCAGGGAAGAGUAGAAGACGGUACCUAACGAAUAAGCCACGGCUAACUACGUGCCAGCAACCGCGGUAAUCAGUAGGUGGCAAGCGUUGUCCGGAUUUACUGGGUGUAAAGGGCGUGGAGUCGGGUUGACAAGUCAGAUGUGAAAGCCUGCGGCUUAACCGCAGAACUGCAUUUGACACUGUUGAUCUUGAGUACUGGAGAGGCAGACGGAAUUCCUAGUGUAGCGGUGAAAUGCGUAGAUAUUAGGAGGAACACCAGUGGCGAAGGCGGUCUGCUGGACAGCAACUGACGGUGAGGCGCGAAAGCGUGGGGAGCAAACAGGAUUAGAUACCCGAGUAGUC